rnacentral:rRNA from 1 species
UACGUAGGGUGCGAGCGUUAAUCGGAUUUAUUGGGCGUAAAGCGUGCGCAGGCGGCCCGUUAAGACAGGUGUGAAAUCCCUGGGCUCAACCUAGGAAUUGCGCUUGUGACUGGCGGGCUCGAGUACGGUAGAGGGGGGUGGAAUUCCUGGUGUAGCAGUGAAAUGCGUAGAGAUCAGGAGGAACACCGAUGGCGAAGGCAGCCCCCUGGGCCUGUACUGACGCUCAUGCACGAAAGCGUGGGGAGCAAACAGG